rnacentral:rRNA from 1 species
UACGGAGGGUGCAAGCGUUGCUCGGAAUUAUUGGGCGUAAAGCGCGUGUAGGCGGUUUUCUAAGUCUGAUGUGAAAUCCCGGAGCUUAACUCCGGAACUGCAUCGGGUACUGGAAGACUAGAGGGUGAGAGAGGAUGGUGGAAUUCCUGGUGUAGGGGUGAAAUCCGUAGAGAUCAGGAGGAACAUCGGUUGCGAAGGCGGCCAUCUGGCUCACUGCUGACGCUGAGACGCAAAAGAGUGGGGAGCAAACAGG